AUUGAACGCUGGCGGCAGGCUUAACACAUGCAAGUCGAGCGGGUGAUGGUGCUUGCACUAUCACUUAGCGGCGGACGGGUGAGUAAUGCUUAGGAAUCUGCCCAUUAGUGGGGAACAACAUUUCGAAAGGAAUGCUAAUACCGCAUACGUCCUACGGGAGAGAGCAGGGGAUCUUCGGACCUUGCGCUAAUAGAUGAGCCUAAGUCGGAUUAGCUAGUUGGUGGGGUAAAGGCCUACCAAGGCGACGAUCUGUAGCGGGUCUGAGAGGAUGAUCCGCCACACUGGGACUGAGACACGGCCCAGACUCCUACGGGAGGCAGCAGUGGGGAAUAUUGGACAAUGGGCGGAAGCCUGAUCCAGCCAUGCCGCGUGUGUGAAGAAGGCCUUAUGGUUGUAAAGCACUUUAAGCGAGGAGGAGGCUACUUUAGUUAAUACCUAGAGAUAGUGGACGUUACUCGCAGAAUAAGCACCGGCUAACUCUGUGCCAGCAGCCGCAGUAAGAC
rnacentral:rRNA from 1 species